GCCAAGGUGGUGCAGUGGUUGGAGUGUUGGACUACGACUCUGAAGACCAGAGUUCGAUUCCCUGCCCGGCCA